UAUGCACUAUCCGAUUGGUUUGCUAUUUCAUCUUCUUGCAUCGAGUUCAGCUCUUCUUUGGAACAUCACAGUCCAUUUUAAGAGUUUUCCAGAAGUGGGCCUUCUUCCCUGUCCAUCUAAAGAUGCGGUUGAAGAUCAUUUUAUGUCUUGUAUGAAAGAAGCUGAUGCUUUAAAGCGUAAAAGUCAAGUAAUUAAUGAAAUGCAGAAAAAAGAUCCCAAGCAGCUUUGGAUGGGACUACAAAAUGAUAGAUUUGACCAAUUUUGGGCCAUCAACCGGAAACUCAUGGAAUACCCUGCAGAAGAAAAUGGAUUUUGUUAUAUCCCCUUUAGAAUAUGUCAGACCACGAUGGAACAGCCUUUCAUUCAGAAGCUCUUUCGUCCAGUGGCUGCAUACACUAGGAGAUCUCCUCAAAGAAGUCUGUCCUUCUGCAGUUACUUCUGAAGAUGGGGAAAAGAAGGAUCAAGUCAUGAGUCAUGGAAUUGAACCAAUGUUGGGAGCACCUUUGCAGGGGCUCAGUGAACAUCUGAGCUACCCGGAUAAUUUUCUUAAUAUUAGCAUCAUCCCGCAACCAACAGAUGGAAGGAACAACUCUUGGCCUGAAUGGAUUUACCAGAGCAUGUCACCCUUUGCUGCAAAAUCAAGUUUGGAUGGAGGCAGCCCGACAACACUUGGCUGCUACCAGCCAAGCAUGAAGAAGACUCCCUGGGAGAUAAGCAACUGACCUGGCCUGGCCUGGCUUUGCAUGGCCGCUGCCUCUUCCACUGUGUCAUUAGUCCCAGCUGCAGUGUGGAAGCCAGAAACCACAGGACCGCUGCCGUCUCCUGUCUUCUGGUAAAACAUAACGAGUUAUGAUGAAAAUGGAGAGACAUGCCACUCUGUUUGUUUCUGAUUAACAAAUA